rnacentral:rRNA from 1 species
UACGGGGGGGGCAAGCGUUGUUCGGAAUUACUGGGCGUAAAGGGCGCGUAGGCGGUCUGCUAAGUUGGAUGUGAAAACUCUGGGCUUAACCCAGAGCCUGCAUUCAAUACUGACAGGCUAGAGUUCUGGAGGGGAUAGCGGAAUUCCUGGUGUAGCGGUGAAAUGCGUAGAUAUCAGGAGGAACACCGGUGGCGAAGGCGGCUAUCUGGCCCAAUACUGACACUGAGGCACGAAAGCGUGGGGAGCAAACAGG